GGUGAACGCUGGCGGCGUGCCUAAUACAUGCAAGUCGAGCGAACAGACGAGGAGCUUGCUCCUCUGACGUUAGCGGCGGACGGGUGAGUAACACGUGGAUAACCUACCUAUAAGACUGGGAUAACUUCGGGAAACCGGAGCUAAUACCGGAUAAUAUAUUGAACCGCAUGGUUCAAUAGUGAAAGACGGUUUUGCUGUCACUUAUAGAUGGAUCCGCGCCGCAUUAGCUAGUUGGUAAGGUAACGGCUUACCAAGGCGACGAUGCGUAGCCGACCUGAGAGGGUGAUCGGCCACACUGGAACUGAGACACGGUCCAGACUCCUACGGGAGGCAGCAGUAGGGAAUCUUCCGCAAUGGGCGAAAGCUUGACGGAGCAACGCCGCGUGAGUGAUGAAGGUCUUCGGAUCGUAAAACUCUGUUAUUAGGGAAGAACAAAUGUGUAAGUAACUAUGCACGUCUUGACGGUACCUAAUCAGAAAGCCACGGCUAACUACGUG
rnacentral:rRNA from 1 species